rnacentral:misc_RNA from 1 species
GAUGAAGAACGUAGCGAAAUGCGAUAAGUAAUGUGAAUUGCAGAAUUCAGUGAAUCAUCGAGUCUUUGAACGCACAUUGCGCCUCCUGGUAUUCCGGGGGGCAUGCCUGUCCGAGCGUCAUUGCCGCCCUCAAGCACGGCUUGUGUGUUGGGCCCCCGCCCCCCGGCUUCGGGGGGCGGGCCCGAAAGGCAGCGGCGGCACCGCGUCCGGUCCUCGAGCGUAUGGGGCUUCGUCACCCGCUCUGUAGGCCCGGCCGGCGCCCGCCGGCGACCCCAAUCAAUCUUUCCAGGUUGACCUCGGAUCAGGUAGGGAUACCCGCUGAACUUAAGCAUAUCAAUAAGCGGAGGA